rnacentral:lncRNA from 1 species
GACUAUGCCCGAGAGGAUAGCAGACCCCUCUUUGAGAUUUCUAUGCUGAACGUUUCAGCAUCCGAUCUCUAUACUUUAUCUGUGAAAACACAAGCAUCCAAUUGCAUCUAUCUCUAUAGAUCUUUAGGAUGCUCACUUAAUGUCUUUCAUGAAGAAAUCUAUAUUCAACCAUAUUUUAAUCGAUAUCAGCAUUGGGCACUCCC